AGGGGCUCUUUUUGGUGGGCGUGCUUACCAUGCAAGCCGAGCGAGAAACUCAAACCCGAAAUUUCGGUCGAACAUUUGAGCGGAAAGAGGGGAGGGGGAGAAACGCGUAGGCACCUGCCCUUUGAGAAAAAUAAAAUCGGGAAACUGAUAUUAAAACCUCAUAAAACCGGAAGUGCACAUGCACAUUUGGUCAAAGAUUUAUUUUCUAGGGAUGGGCCUGCGUCUGAUUAGUCAGUUGGUGGGGUAACGGCUCACCAAGGCAGUGAUCAGUAGCCGACCUGAGAGGGUGAUCGGCCACAUUGGAACUGAGACACGGUCCAGACUCCUGCGGGAGGCAGCAGUGGGGAAUAUUGCACAAUGGGGGAAACCCUGAUGCAGCAACGCCGCGUGAAGGAAGAAGGCCUUUGGGUCGUAAACUUCUGUCCUUGGGGAAGAAAAAAAUGACGGUACCCUUGGAGGAAGCCCCGGCUAACUACGUGCCAGCACCCGCGGUAAUACGUAGGGGGCGAGCGUUAUCCGGAAUUAUUGGGCGUAAAGGGUGCGUAGGUGGUUUUUUAAGCGCAGGGUCUAAUGCACAGGCUUAACUUGUGUCCGCCUUGCGAACUGAAGGACUUGAGUGCAGGAGAGGAAAGCGGAAUUCCUAGUGUAGCGGUGAAAUGCGUAGAUAUUAGGAGGAACGCCAGUGGCGAAGGCGGCUUUCUGGACUGUAACUGACACUGACGCACGAAAGCGUGGUAGCAAACAGGAUUAGAUACCCCUGUUAGUCCACGCCCGUAAA
rnacentral:rRNA from 1 species